CCAAUUUCAACCACCCUCAAGGCAAAAAGAGGGGAAAUGAUGUUUUGGCUUCAAUUUAUUCUCUUAGUCGCCUUCAAAGGUGCCCAAUCACAGAUCCAGCUGGUGGAGUCUGGAGGAGAUGUAAAAAAGCCUGGAGAGUCCCUCCGCCUAAACUGUCAAGCCUCCGGGUUCACCUAUGCCAGCUACUGGAUGAGCUGGGUGAGACAAGCUCCAGGAAAGGGCCUGGAAUGGGUUGCCCGUAUGCACCCAUCUGACUCAUCCCACAUUUACUACUCAGAUAAAGUGAAAGGGCGAUUCACCAUUUCCAGGGACAAUUCAAAGAGCCAGCUGUAUCUGCAAAUGAACGGCCUGAAAGCUGAGGACACCGCGAUGUAUUAUUGUGCAAGAGACACAGUGAGGGGAAGUGAAUCUGAAGUGAGACAAAAACUCUCCUUUGCUUAA